AAAGGUUACUUAACGUGUAUGGUGGAUGCCUUGACUGAAAUAAGCGAUGAAGGACGCAGCUGGCUGCGAUAAUCUUCGGGGAGCUGUUAAGCAAGCUUUGAUCCGGAGGUUUCCGAAUGGGGCAACCCAACUGUGCGUAGCACAGGAAUUUUGAAUUCUGAAACUUUUUGAAACUUAAAACUAAGAAUCGAAAUUUCUGUGCUGCGUACAGUUAUCUUCGCGUGAAUUCAUAGCGUGAAGAGGCAUACCCUGGGAACUGAAACAUCUUAGUACCAGGAGGAAAAGAAAACAAUAGUGAUUCCGUAAGUAGUGGCGAGCGAACGCGGAAAAGCCUCCAGUCUUUAGCAGAAUUGUUAGCAAAAUGCUUUGGAAAGAGCAGCCAUAGCGGGUAAUAGCCCCGUAUGCGAAAACAAUUUUGUGGAACUAAGUCUGGGACAAGUAAGGCGGGACCGGAGAAAUCCUGUCUGAACAUGGGAGCACUACUCUCCCAAGGCUAAAUAUUAUUUCAGAUCGAUAGUGAACUAGUACCGUGAGGGAAAGGUGAAAAGCAUCCCGGUGAGGGAGGUGAAAUAGAACUGAAACCAUAUACUAACACAGAGUCAGAGCCGCCACACCUAAUGCCGUAACAAAUUUUUGCUGGCAAAUGAUUAUCAUGAUUCAUGAUUUUUGUUUGCUUAUAGUAAAUAAUUGUGGCAAUAGGUGUGGCGGUGAUGGCGUGCUUUUUGCAGAACGAGCCAACGAGUUAAUUUUAUGCGGCUUGCCUAAGGAGAAGGAACUCCAGAGGCACAGUGAAAGCGAGCCUGAAUAGGGCGACUUGUCGCAUGGAUUAGACCCGAAGCCGGACGAGCUACACAUGAGCAGGGUGAACCCUGGGUAAUACCAGGGGGAGGCCCGAACCCACGAGCCGUGCAACACUCGGGGAUGACUUGUGUGUAGGGGAGAAAUUCCAAUCGAGUUCGGCAAUAGCUGGUUCUCUCCGAAAUAGCUUGAGGGCUAGCGUCAUGACAUUGCAUCCAAGAGGUAGAGCUACUGGAUGAGAAUUCGCGGUUCGCCGUAGGGUUUUCAACCAAACUCCGAAUUCUUGCGAUGUUUACCAUGGCAGUCAGAAAUCCGGCGCUAAGGUCGGAUCUCAAAAGGGAAACAGCCCAGACCAUCAUCUAAGGUCCCUAAAUUUAUGCUAAGUGGAUAAGGAAGUGAAGUUUCUUAUACAUCUAGGAUGUUGGCUUAGAAGCAGCCACCCUUUAAAGAGUGCGUAACAGCUCACUAGACCAGAGACUUUGCGCCGAAAAUUCAACGGGGCUAAGCAUAAUACCGAAGAUAUGGAUUCACGAAUUCUACAAAAACCAUUUGCAUCAAAAAAAAUCUGAAUUUCCUUGAUGUGGCCAAGGUCACAUCGACAAAUUAUUUUCAGAUAAGCAUGAUGUAAAUAUAUGUGAAGUGGUUUUUGGUGAAUUCGUGAGUGGUAGGAGAGCGUUUUCUGUGCGCUGAAGCGUAAGGGGUGACCCGUCGUGGAGCGCAGAAAAGUGAGAAUGUUGGCAUGAGUAACCACAAUCCCGAUGAAACUUCGGGACACCGUAAGUCUAAGGUUUCCUGGGCAACGUUGAUCGCCCCAGGGUUAGUCGGUCCUAAGGCGAGGCUGAAAAGCGUAGUCGAUGGACAGCAGGUUAAUAUUCCUGCACUGCGGCAGUAUUCGAUGGAGUGACGUAUCUUAGUAUGUUUUGCGUCUUAUUGGAUUGACGUAGAGGUGUUGAGGGUGCAUGGCAGGCAAAUCCACCAUGCAUCAGCCCAAGGCAUUUCUGGAAGCUCCGAUUUAUCGGGGUGAACGAAACAAAGCAAGGUACCAGGAAAAGCUUCUAAGGUUAAUACUGCCGUAUCCGUACCGGAAACCGACACAGGUAGACAAGGCGAGUAGCCUAAGGUGAACGGGAGAACCUUCGUUAAGGAACUCGGCAAAAAAACUAGACGUAAGUUCGCGAGAUGUCUUCCCGGCCCCACUUUUAGUUCUUGUGGGAGUGAAGAGAUAGUGCGGUAAAAGCCAAAACAGACGUAGAACUGGCCUCAGUAGAAAUACUGGGAGAAUAAGUACAGAACGAUGAUGUUCUACGCUGAUUAGGCUUUCGUAUCCCUCUCCUCCUACCUUUAAAAUAAUGAGAAUUAAAAGUGGGGCUGGGCGCAGUGAAAAUUUCCCAAGCGACUGUUUAUCAAAAACACAACUCUCUGCUAAAGCGCAAGCUGAAGUAUAGGGGGUGACACCUGACCAGUGCUGGAACGUUAAUGGGGUUGGUGCAAGCUAAUCCUUGAAGCGCCAGUGAACGUCGGCGAUAACUAUAAUCGUCCUAAGGUAGCGAAAUUCCUUGUCAGGUAAAUUCUGACCCGCAUCAAAGGUGUAACGAUUUGGGAACUGUCUCAACGAAGGACCCGGUGAAAUCGCAAUGGCAGUGAAGAUGCUGCCGACCUACAGCAAGACGAAAAGACCCCGUGGAGCUUUACUACAACUUGGUAUUGGAUUGAGAUUUUGGUUGCCGAGAAUAGGUGGGAGACUUUGAAGUCCUGUUUCCGGAUGGGAUGGAGUCAACAGUGGAAUACCACUCUGCCAAAGUUUUAAUUCUAACCCUGAGCCGUUACGAGAACGGAAUUUAAAAAUAUAAAUUUAUUAAUUCCGGUUUCAUACCGGUUCGGGGACAGUGCCUGGUGGGUAGUUUGACUGGGGCGGUCGCCUCCUAAAUGGCAACGGAGGCGUUUACAAAGGUUGGUUAGGUCCGGAUGGAAAUCGGGCCGAUAGCGCAAAAGUACAAACCAGCUUUACUGCAAGACUCAUAAGUCGAUCAGUCACGAAAGUGGAAUUUAGUGAACCGACCGUAGCAUGUAGAUGCGCGGAAGAUCAUCAGACAAAAGUUACCCCGGGGAUAACAGGCUGAUCCUGCCCAAGAGUCCACAUCGACGGCAGGGUUUGGCACCUCGAUGUCGGCUCAUCGCAUCCUGGGGCUGGAGAAGGUCCCAAGGGUAUGGCUGUUCGCCAUUUAAAGCGGUACGCGAGCUGGGUUCAAACCGUCGUGAGACAGGUUGGUCUCUAUCUGCUGUAGGCGUGAAUGUUUGAGGGAACUCUUUCCUAGUACGAGAGGACCGGAAAGAACAAACCUAUGGUGUAUCGGCUGUUCCGCCAGGAGCAUUGCCGAGUAGCUACGUUUGGAAGAGAUAACCGCUGAAAGCAUCUAAGCGGGAAGCUCAUCCCAAGAUUAGACAUUAUCUUACACCAACUUCCUUUAUAAGUUGCUAAAAGUAAUCAAUAAUUAAGAAUUGUUUUGAUUGCUUGCGGGCAAUUUAUUGUAUUGGAAGUUGGUGUAA
rnacentral:rRNA from 1 species